rnacentral:rRNA from 1 species
GAUGAACGCUGGCGGCGUGCCUAAUACAUGCAAGUCGAGCGAACAGACGAGAAGCUUGCUCCUCUGACGUUAGCGGCGGACGGGUGAGUAACACGUGGAUAACCUACCUAUAAGACUGGGAUAACUUCGGGAAACCGGAGCUAAUACCGGAUGAUAUUUUGAACCGCAUGGUUCAAUAGUGAAAGACGGUUUUGCUGUCACUUAUAGAUGGAUCCGCGCUGCAUUAGCUAGUUGGUAAGGUAACGGCUUACCAAGGCAACGAUGCAUAGCCGACCUGAGAGGGUGAUCGGCCACACUGGAACUGAGACACGGUCCAGACUCCUACGGGAGGCAGCAGUAGGGAAUCUUCCGCAAUGGGCGAAAGCCUGACGGAGCAACGCCGCGUGAGUGAUGAAGGUCUUCGGAUCGUAAAACUCUGUUAUUAGGGAAGAACAUAUGUGUAAGUAACUGUGCACAUCUUGACGGUACCUAAUCAGAAAGCCACGGCUAACUACGUG